rnacentral:rRNA from 1 species
UGAUUGAAGCUUGCUUCUUGAUUCAGAUUUUGGUGAGUGGCGGACGGGUGAGUAACACGUGGGUAACCUGCCCAAAAGUGGGGGAUAACAUUUGGAAACAAGUGCUAAUACCGCAUAACAACUGCUUUCACAUGAUCGCAGCUUGAAAGAUGGCUCUGCUAUCGCUUUUGGAUGGACCCGCGGCGUAUUAGCUAGUUGGUGAGGUAAUAGCUCACCAAGGCAAUGAUACGUAGCCGACCUGAGAGGGUAAUCGGCCACAUUGGGACUGAGACACGGCCCAAACUCCUACGGGAGGCAGCAGUAGGGAAUCUUCCACAAUGGGCGAAAGCCUGAUGGAGCAAUGCCGCGUGAGUGAAGAAGGUUUUCGGAUCGUAAAACUCUGUUGUUGAAGAAGAACAUGCGUGAGAGUAACUGUUCACGUACUGACGGUAUUCAACCAGAAAGCCACGGCUAACUACGUGCCAGCAGCCGCGGUAAUACGUAGGUGGCAAGCGUUGUCCGGAUUUAUUGGGCGUAAAGAGAAUGUAGGCGGUUUAUUAAGUU